UUCCCUACGGGAGGCAGCAGUGAGGAAUAUUGGUCAAUGGGCGCGAGCCUGAACCAGCCAAGUCGCGUGAGGGAUGAAGGAUCUAUGGUUCGUAAACCUCUUUUAUAAGGGAAUAAAGUGCGGGACGCGUCCCGCUUCGCAUGUACCUUAUGAAUAAGGAUCGGCUAACUCCGUGCCAGCAGCCGCGGUAAUACGGAGGAUCCGAGCGUUAUCCGGAUUUAUUGGGUUUAAAGGGUGCGUAGGCGGACUUUCAAGUCAGCGGUGAAAGCCUGUGGUUCAACCAUAGUAUUGUUGUUGAAACUGGG
rnacentral:rRNA from 1 species